GCUUCCUUCGUCUAGUGGUUAGGACACUGGCCUCUCACGCCGGCAACAGGGGUUCGAGCCCCCUAGGAAGCGCCA
rnacentral:tRNA from 1 species